rnacentral:rRNA from 1 species
UACAGAGGGGGCAAGCGUUGUUCGGAAUUACUGGGCGUAAAGGGCGCGUAGGCGGCCUGUUAAGUCGAACGUGAAAUCCCCGGGCUCAACCCGGGAACUGCGUCCGAUACUGGCUGGCUUGAAUCCGGGAGAGGGAUGCGGAAUUCCAGGUGUAGCGGUGAAAUGCGUAGAUAUCGGAAGGAACAUCAGUGGCGAAAGCGGCUUCCUGGACCAGUACCGACGUUCAGGCAUGAAAGCGUGGGGAGCAAACAGG